CUCCUCUAACCUUAAAAUAAAAGGACUCAGUCGGCUGAACAGCCCUCUGGGACUCUCCCUGACGCCAGUGAUUCCUGAAAUAUCACCAACAAUGCCUCCAUAAUCUCCUCAGCCCAGAUAGCAUCCGGAGAGAAUUCUGACUCUGGACAAAACAGGAGAAUACAGUUCACCAGUCACACAGGCCCACUAUUCCAAGUUCCACCUUUAACAUAUUUGGGAAAUGAAGUUGGGACCUGAAAAGAGGAUGGAUGGUCAAGGCUUUUCUCCAUAUCCUGCACCAGCAGUUAAUUUUUCUGUGAACCUUCUCUGUAGCUGUAACACUAUAUUCUGCAGGAACAAUUUACUGCAGAU